ensembl:lncRNA
ACCCAGACCCAGACACAGACACACACACACACACACAGACACACACAGACACAGACACAGACACAGAUACAAACGAGGACGCAGACACAGACACACGCAGACACAGACGCAGACACACGCAGACACAGACGCAGACACAGACACAGACACACACACACACACACACGCAGACGCAGACGCAGACGCAGACACAGACACAGACACAGACAGACACAGACACAGACACAGACACAGACGAGGACGCAGACGCAGACACAGACACAGACACAGACACAGACAGACACAGACACAGACACACGCAGACACAGACACAGACGACAGACACAAAUGAGGACGCAGACGCAGACACACGCAGACGCAGACGCAGACACAGACACAGAUACAAACGAGGACGCAGACACAGACACACGCAGACACAGACGCAGACACACGCAGACACAGACGCAGACACACGCAGACACAGACGCAGACACAGACGCAGACACACACGCAGACACAGACGCAGACACACACGCAGACACAGACGCAGACACAGACACAGACACAAACGAGGACGCAGACGUACCUGCACUUGGGACAGCAGUUUGCCCAGGGCGAGGUGGACGCUCUUCUGGACAGUCCUCUGGAGCUGGCUCUGCCUCUGGGUCUCACGUUGACCCUCAUGGACCCAACGCAGGCGACCCAGACACUAACCCAAAACACAGCCGCAGGCAGGGCGGGGAGGUAAUCAUUAAAACACACAUAUACACACACACACUCACACACACAGUUACUGUCUCAGGCCUCACGAGUGGAUGAAGGCUCUUGAUAGAAAAAUACAUAAAACACGACGAGAAUGCUAUUCACAGUAAAAAAUACGAACUUAUCAAUUCACGUUAUAACACUACUGUUUUCCUCAAUACCUAUGUAUAGUAACAAUGUUUUCUCACCACAAAAAGCAGUUAAAAGUUAAAAUUGCAUUAAUGUACACCUAAGUCCAUUUUGGUUAUCUGUAAUGGUAGCCUAUAUUCCCGAUUGCUGACCUCAGUCAAAAAUAUGAGUACAACAUCAGUAGGCUACACGAUCAGUGCUCAAGACACUUAUCAUCAGACAGUGGCACCACCUGUCGAGGAUAGCUAAUCCCGAGAGGCGCCAUGGCCGUGUCCACCUAGGACCUUACGGGUUGUCAUGUGUUACAGCCGAGUUCAUUGAGACGGUACAUCAGUCAUGGCGACACAUACCUCUGCCAACCUCAGGUGCAGAAGAGCAUUCUCGGUCUCCAGCUCCAAGAUUCGCUCCUCUUUACUCUGCAGAUAUACCGUUACAAAAAAAGUCUGAAGUCUGUAACGUUAGCAUGCUAGACUAGCCUACCGUUGUAGGCAUUGUGUAUAAAUGCAUACACUAUAGACGAAAUAGACAUACCAAGAUGAAUGUGUUUAACUUAUUGAAUACUUUCAAAAUGUCAGUAACAUUUCCAGAAAGGCAAUCAAAUUAACUCAAAUUGAAUUGACUCCACACCAGGCCUGCAGGCUAUCUUAACGUUAUUGUGUUUAAAUUCGUAUAACAGCGUAGGCUACUUACCCUAAGCUUAUGCUCCAACAGGUGCACCUGGUGUGCAAAUAUCUGAUCCCGGUUAAUAAAAAGUGGCAUUUUGCUCAAGUUAAUAAUAAUUAAAAAAAACAAUUAAAAAACCUCGGUGAGACACGUCUUGAUCAAGCGAACAGGACAUCAACCAGCGCAGGCUACUUUGACAGUAUCAGUAAUCGGCUUACAGUUACAACACAACCUGCGUGCCGGCAGUAAGCUACAGCGUCCCGUCUCUGGACACCAUCCACUUCAAGUGAGGCAACAGACUUCUUAAAGCGUGUUUUUCUUUCAACGGCAAUCUGAAGUAUUUAGCUUCAUUCAUUUAAGAGAUACAGCCCAGGGUAUUUACGCCCUCUAUCAGCAAGUGGGACUAGUUCGGAGACACAAAUUAAGCUAUAGGCCUACUAUAGGUGUGUGGUGUAGCCUACAUCAGAUAAAAACAAAAGCAUCAUAUUACAAUAAAUAUAUUUUUACUGUUGAACUACUCUAGGUUAUGUAACUAUUUAUACAACAGCUGUAAAUACCAAUUCAAAGUUGAACAGAGCAAGCUUGCCGUUCAUGUCCAGAUGGGUCUACAUGAUUCAGGUAAACGGGUAAGCACAUGAAGCCUGUGCGCUCUCUAGUGGCCAACAUAUCAUUCUACAAGGAGGUUUUUCCUCUGCCACUGAACUCUCGUUGCGGAGCUCAAUAAGAUGGCCACAAUGACACUUACAAACACAGCAUGGUUUAUAAUAAUAAAAAUAAUAAUGAAUUUUAUUUAUAUAGCACAAUAUUGUGCCUUAUAGACACAUGAAUGUUAUUCUCUAACUAUUCCUUAAAGAAAAAAGACACACACGACCGGCCAUGUUUUGGGUUGAGUCUUUUAUUCUUCCAAAGAGUUCCACCCAAGUUUCUUUUGUAAACAUUAUUUCCCUCUGGGAUAACUGUGUCAUUUAGUAUGCAUUAGUGAUGCUUUAUGAAGCCUAUCUACAGCACUAUUAUGCAUUAGUGAU